GACAGAGGCCCCGAGCGUUAGGCGGAAUCACUGGGCUUAAAGCGUGUGUAGGCGGGCCCGUAAGUGUCUUGUGAAAUCCCACGGCUCAACCGUGGAACUGCUGGGCAUACUGCGGGUCUGGGCCAACUAGGGCAGCCGGAACAAGCGGUGGAGCGGUGAAAUGCGUAGAUAUCGCUUGGAACGCCGAAGGUGAAAACAGGCU
rnacentral:rRNA from 1 species